rnacentral:sRNA from 1 species
CUCAUAAGUUAGAGCAAUCUUCUCCGCCUUCCGAUCAACAUAAGUGCCAUCCGAAUU